AACAGCAGACACACCUGCAGGCGCAUAAAUUAGCGCCGCACCUGCGCGCAAUGUGGUUUCGGAAAUUAGCUUGGUUAUGCUUCUCACAGUGUGCACUCCCUCUUUAAAGAGAACUUUGGUAAAGACUUGUGGACACAGAAGCUGACUGACAGACAAAUAAAGUAAACUACACAGUUUGGAGGGUGACUGAGGCGUCUGAAUGCACUUAAAAGAAGGUAAGCUUUGUAACUUUGCACUUAGUGUCUGUGUGUUCCUGUAGCUCUCCUUGUUUACAACAUGAAUGUGCCGUAUUUGCCCAUUUUAAUAUGUUUAAAACUUCAUAUUAAACUCCAGCCAUUACGAUUUUUUUUCCUGUGGCAUAAAGGAAUAUAAAAAUGUAACUGGCAAACGCAAUUUGAAGUUUUCCCUGCUUUUGUGAAGAAUAAGAAAUGCCAUCCCAUCUUAAGCCUUUCAUUUGCUCAUAUUCUACAUGUGGUGUUAUCUGGGUGAUGUCCCUUAAGCACAGAGUUACCCAAGUAAAUAAAGCCCACCCCACCCCACCCACCCAAUAUAUCCCCCAAAACAGCAGAGGUAUUCCUUUAAAGUCCCACACCCUUACCUGAGCAGUGUGUUCAAGAGGAAAGGAGCUCAGUAAGAAUCACUGCAGACUCACUCCUCUGUCUUAAAUCCAUCCAUACUUUGAAGCAAGGGAUUCCCGCCUGAAAUUCCAGUCCAAGAUAAAGAGCUCAAAAAGAGGAGCUAAAACGCUCUUUUCUUUCCCUCAGUGUCCUCUGUUUCCGUCUCCUCUGGACCCCCGCUGCUCAGUUCCCAAUGCACAAACAGUCAGAAAAGGCAAAACAGCCUGGGGUCUAAGUCACAAACUGGCCAGGACAUGAGGGUUGGGAGGCUGAUCAUGUCAGUGCUGUAUCAGCCACAUGCGAUCACAGAUCUCUUGUCUUCUCCUUUUCCUUCUUGCCCGUGUCUCUGCUCCGUCAGUAGACCUCCUCUGUUGUGAUGACAGGGAGCUAAUUUAGCCCCCCUCACUUGUCGUCUCCUUCUCACGCGUGCGGCGGAAGGCUCCAGUGGAAUGACUGCUCUGUCUGCUCUUGGCUGCGUCCCCCCAUUGAGAAGCUGUGCUGAUAGUGUGAGCCUCAGUCCUCUCUCCAGCGCACUAAGUAGAGUCUGUGUGAGAGAGCCUGAGCGAGUGUGUGAGAGAGCGUGCUUGUGUGUGCGUGUGUGUGAGUGAGAGUGUGUGUAUUACAAUGAAGCCCAGCUGGAAAGAGAGAGAGAGAGAGAGGGAACUGGGAGAGAGUCAGAUCACAUGUCUUAAAGCAAAGCCUGCCCACUUCUGCAUCAAGACUUCAUCAGUAGAUUAGGCAUGCUUUAUUAACCCAGCCCUCUAUAUAUCCCGGGCUCUUAUCCACAUGUGAGUGCAGUGUUCAGCUCUCUCUGAAUGUGUCUGAGCGUACACAUGUGUGUGUGUGUGUGUGUGUGUGUACUGGUGUACACUGAAUGUGCCUGUUUUAGUCAUCGCCCUGCAGAGUUUGAGGGGUGGGAGAGAAGUAUGCUCCCAGAGCUGCACUUUUAAUAGAAGGCAGAGUGUCUCAUCAGAGAUCUGCAAUCACCAUAUUACCCGCCACGAGCCAGCUGUGCUUUUCCUACCUGUUUUGUUAGGGUUUGUUUGUACCGCCUGCACUCUUUUUUUUUGGAGCUUUCCCACCAAUGAAGCCUGCAGCAGAUUCAGUUUUGGAGACGGUGACAGAGCCCAUGAGCCUCUCUCUGCCACCUUCUCCAAAACUGAAUCUGCUGGCGUCAAAAGAAAUCACAUCCAUUGUCUUUUGUAUGUGUUUGUGUAGGUGUAUUCUGCAUGUGCGUGUCCUUGCUGUGACUGAGCCAUGCAGGCAGGUGAGAGCAGAGUACGUUUCCCUCCCAUAUGGAGGAGCUCCUCUUUAACUCAUUAUAUUGUUAACCAGAGAUUUACAGUAUAUGCCAAUCCUACGCACCUGCCAUGGCUGACUCACUCACAGUCUGACAUUUUAUGGGAAAUAACCCCUAUGCUGCUCACAACAACGCACAGCUGAGGGGCUGUAUAAGCUGGCAGACAGAGAGGGUGGUGGUGUUGGUGCUGUGGGGGAGGACAGACAGAUGAAUUUGAUGAUGAAUAUCCGGAUAAAUUCUGUGUCAGAGCUUGAGCUGCACCCUGUUUUCUUUGCAUGUUAUCAUUUGUGUGGAUACAGUGCAAGCCAUGGUGCAAAACGAUCAGCCGUGUUAUUGGUUGUCGUCUUGUGGGUGGAAUUUCCGAAAAUGGGUAACAAGCCCUUUAAUUGCCAGUUACUGUGCCAUGCCACAGGGCAGCCUGGACUAUCUCUGCUAUCACCUCUGCAUGUUCCGUAUACACCAUUGUAAGAUCUGAAAGCCAGAUGUGCACAGCCCAGCAGAGUCACAGCAAGAAGGGAGGGAGCAAAUAUAGAAAAACUGUGUAACAAAAACUGAGGAAUAGAUCUGGUUGGGUGGGUUGAGGAUUGGGGUAUUACUCGCUCUGCUGGAUUACUCUAAGCGUGAUGUGAGUACCGGGUGGAUAAGGUAGUAGCUGUUCGCGGAGACCUCCUCCUAUGGCUGAAAAUAAGAAUGCUGUGGUAGUUUUUCCAGCAUGUGUUAGUGUGUGUGUUUUUUGUCUUUGGACUGUGUCCUUUGUAUCCUCUGAGCACACAGCUCUACAAUAAUCUAAUGGGAAUGCAGUUAUGAACGGUGGAGCUGCCAUCUGGAUCUCUGUUGGGUAAAGCACACCACAUGUUAGGUGACCAGACACACAUUAAGCAGGAAGUGUAGAGUAAUUACUACAUUGAUUAGUGUUCCUACACUGUCAGGCGUUAUUUGCACAAAACAGCAUGAUUACCAAUAAACAGGCUUAUUUGUAUGUGUUGAUAUAUCCUUUUGUGUGGAGCUCUAAUAGCACGCACGCUUGAAUUUCAUUUUGUCGUCGCUGCUUAAUGUUUUUAUGAUCAGUCUCGUUGGACUGAGAUGAAGCCGUGAAAUGAAACAGGCCCACAAACAAGCCUCAGAGGACAAUUUAAGAUUGAGGCAUCCAAUUACUACAUGUUCCUUUCAGCAAUGAGCAGUACCACCAAAAGUCCCCCAUUUGUAUCUUAAUUUGUUUCUUUUGUUGAUUUGUUGUGCUCUCCCAUUUUUUCACUCUGCGUCAGUGUGAGCUGUGUUGGGGGAAUAGACUGGGACAACAGAAUUUCACAGUAAUUCUGAAUUGUUGUCGUGGUCCCGCUCUUUCCUGUCUCCACUCUCAGGGGCUUCCAUCAUUUCCAAACAGCUGUCGCUGCAGCCCGUGCCAAGACCUAACCACAACCGACAAUCACCGGCCAACUCUGUGUUUGGAUCUGGGCAGCCCUGUGAAACAGCAGUGUUUGCCAACGUUGCUCUCUCUCUCUCCCUGUUUCCUUCUCAUUCUGUCGUUUUCUUUCUUUCUGUUUUUCCCUCUGGCUAAUAAAAAUCUUCCUUCCAGUGCAGCCAACAAGCUUCAGUAUGCAUCUGCAAGCAGUACCAAAAUACCCUUUUAACACCACCCAAAUCCUCCCAUACGCAGCAUCUUCUGUUUUCCUUUAAAAAUAGAGCCUCUGUCCACUACUAUUAUUACUACAUACUUUCAACAAAUCUCACUGGAGCACACAGAGCAUUUCUUUAUCUGAUGAAGGAUUUGUUGUGUUCGUGAACCUACUCUCUAUAGACUCCUGCUACACAAAACAUCCAACUGCAGAUAAGUGUAGAGUGACAGAGGGAAACAGGGAUGGAAAUUGAGAGAGAAAAUAGCAAAAAAAGAAGUAAAGAUUAAUGCAGGAAGCGUAAAUUCAUUUGGAAGAGGUAUGCAGCGGCAGUGCUUGGUCAGUGGAGUAUGGUGAAGGGAAGAAAAUGAUUUAUGAAAUGAAGGAUGAUGCAAAGAAAUAAUUUAUUUCACAUUUAUCAGUGCGUCCUUUUUUUGGCUUUUGCUCCUCUGUUCAGUGCCGCAGAAACCUAGCUGUGAGGAUAUUGUGCAUUUGUGGAAUUUUCAAUGUAAAGGCUAAGGUUGAAGGAUGGACAGUUUCACUGCAUAUAACCUCUCUCAGGAGUUACCUUCAUCUUAUCAAUCCUGUCAGCAGAGAGAGCCAGCGAGAAUAAAUGCAAUACAUGUCCGUUCAUAUAGAAGAAUGAGUUGAAAUAGAGUAUCACGUAAGUAUCACGAGUAUCAAGUAAGUAGAUUUUUCUUUCAAAAUUAUAAUAUCCUAAAUCUUUUUUUGUCUGUGUUUGUUAAAAUGUGGUGCGGUAUAAAGUUACAUGAUUGAAAAAAGAGCAAAGGAGUAGCUAAAUCAGUCAACCAGUCAGUCACCCAUUAAACCAAUCAUUAAUUGAACCAAUUAAUCAACAAAGUACUAGUUUACCAAUCAACAAACAAACCAAAUAAUCAACCUGUUGAGAAACAAACCAAUCAAUCAAUGAAGCAGUCGCUGACUUAGUCAAUCAACCAAUCAGUGUUGCACUUGUUCAACUUUUAAAUCAACAAUGACCCGAUUUACAAUUCAACAAAUCAAUCAAACCAGCAAGCAGGCAAGCAACAAAUUAGCAACCGAGCUACUGUUCAUCCAGGAAGAGUCCAGGAAGAAUGGAUCGUAGGAGGACAAAGGAACAGCCAUUUAUAACUCCAACAGUUCCAGGCGUAAACAUGUCUUCAGGAGUCAUCUGCAACAUCCUGUAUGUUGUCUUUACAUCCCAGCCUCAGCUGUGUUUUGCCUCUGACUUGUGUCAUGACCUGCUCGCUUGCAAUAGAUCUUUCAAAUUGUUUUCCUGCCCUGGCAAACACUGCAGACAGCGAAUCAAAGUCAGAACCAGUUUUACUUUGUCUGCAGCAUGGCUUAUACAUGACGUGUAACUGUGAGAGUGAACUGGAGCUGUCUGCUCAUGCCACAUACUUCUGCCUGUCACUUAUAAGUGCUCAAGUCUGGUAUAGUUGGGUCUUCUGCUUAGAUAAAAACAUAUAGAUACAGGACAUUUCAUAGGCCGCUGGUCUGAUUAGUAGAUAUACAAUUAGGGAUGUAACAAUAUGAAAAUUAAACAUCACGAUUUUUGUGAGCAGAAUUGUCACGGUUAUCAAUAUUAUCACGGUAUUGUUGAAAUAUGUUCAAAAUGUUUAAAAAGUACUUGUACACGCCCUAAAAUCAUUUAACAAAGUUUUAUAAAAAAAAAAAAAAAACAAUCAAAAAAACACACAGAAUGAACUUUUCUUAACCUGAAAUAACAGAGAAACGAUAAGCUUAAAAAAUUAAAGAUGGGGCCUUAAAAGAGCCAGAGGUAAUCAACACCGGUGCUAGUAAUAACAAAGUACAAAGUAAUGUGCCAGUGGCAUAAACAUUAACAUAAUAACAAAUAAAUAAAAUUUAAAUAAAAUGGCAUUCCUUAUUGUGCAAUUUGUAAGAAUCUUCAGUGCUCAAAAAGAUCUACUCUUACAAAUAUAAAACCGAGCAACACUACUAUAUGAAACAAAACAACCACAUGUAAACAAAUGUGAAGUGCAGGCGUUUAAAAUAACAUAGAAUAUGAAAACAAAUCAAAUAAUUCACUCUGAUUGUCUGUUUUCUCCACCAUAAGGUGCUUCUGCUGACUUUGUUCACUACUGGAGAUUGAAAUGUAAAAAUGUCAGCAUAUUUAAUUUCCUGGUUUGAGUAGUGAUCUACAAGAGAAAACGAUGUGCCCGCUGGCACUGAAUAUCCUCUCGGAUGGCACACUGGUUGAUGGGAUGCACAAAAGCUUCCUGGCAACCCUUUGUAGAAGCUGAAAUACGCCCAGACUUGGGACUUUGUUUUCUUUAACAGCGGAAAAAUUUCUGCCUUCCGCCAUGUUUACAAGUUGUAUACUGCGCAGUGCACAUGCGCGCGGCGCGCCUGUGUCUGAAAGACUGCUGUGUGUGGCUGCUCUUCUCAGCAAUGAACAGUCUGUGAGCUUUUCCAGGGUGCGGUAAUCAAACACGGUUUUAACGGUAAUUAAAAUUUGAAACGGUAGUACUAACCGUCAGACAUUUUACCGCAGUUUAUUAUUUUACCAAUAAUCGUUACAUCCCUAUUUACAAUAUAAAUGAUCUACUCAAUAUCAUGGAUAAAAAUAUAUAACUAUAAAACUCAAAAUGUAACAGAAAUUAAAAAAUAAUAUUGACAAAGUAUGACAUCUAAAAAUGAUCAAAGCACAUUUCAAACAUGCUAUCCUUCCGACUUCCGACACUUCCGGCAAAAUGCAUUGACUGUGGUGUUUUCUCUCUUCACAUGGAUAUGAGGUUCCUUAUUGAUGCUUUGGCAUGUGGGCACAUUUAUGCUGAUGAGCAUAUGACUGGAUCUUGGCAAACAAAUCGCUAUCCUCUUGGCUUACAAGUAGGCGGCUGACAUUCUCUGUGAGCUGCUCUUUUUUAUACCGAGCACCAUCUAUUAAGCCAUGAAAAGCCAUGAUUAACAUGAAAUGACAACGCUGAAUUUCACAGUUGCUUUACUGUGUGGGUUAUUUUAGACCUUUUUAAUAUUCUAUUUUGUGUAUGGUUUGUAAAUGUCUGAACCAAAACACCAAAUAUGUUUUUUCAUGUGAAUCUCAAACUAUGCUAGAUUGAUGAAACGUUAUCAUAAUUGUUUGUUUUAUAUACUGUGACGUUAAUUACUUUUGAUGUGAUAGAAGAGAGAAACAUUUCGCAGAUACAGCUUUCUUCAAGCCUUGUUCCGAAAAUGUACUGUAGGAAAGAAAUCAAAGCACAUCAUCUGCAAAUGAUAAUUUUUGGCAGGAGUUAUUUUUUAUUUUUCUCUGCAAAUCAGAAUACCGUAUUUAUAGAGAACUUUAUUUCUUGUAGGGCCACAUGUUUUUGUAAUCUUCUAACAUAGUGAAGAAAGCGUCACUGAGUGACAACUUGUUAUUUACACAAUUUUUAAACUGAAAACUGUUCAAGCAGCUCUGAAACCUGAUUUUGUGUCGUAUGGAGAGGCAUGCUAAUGUAGAGGUUUUGAGCUGGUGCCUGUCUUUCCCUUUUCCCAAAGGGAAUGAAAUUUGUCACAUAUUCAAUCAUAAAUUGUAGGCUGGAGAGAGAACAAGUUGCAGGGUUUUGUGUGUUUGAAGUAGGUCAGUAAUUCUGUGUGGGUAAUGCGCUGGGACUCACCAGGUCUCAGCAGGGGGGCCUUUCCUCUCCCCUGUCGGUUCACGAUGGAGGAGUAAUUGAGCACUCGAUGACUCUACUCGUGGAGACGAUGGCGGCCAUGGAAAUGUCCCCUCACAGACCAAUAAAAAUGUCCUCUCCUUCUUGCUGUAAUUGGACCAGGGACAGUGGGGUUGGGUUCUUGCCUGAGGAGACCACCUGUGGAAAUGCUGUGCUCAAUACAUGGCUAUUAAACUGAUGAGACAGGGGACAGGCUGAGAGAAAAAGGCGUGACAAAGAGAGGGAUGCUGAUGAGAACGAGAACCUGCUGCCUUUCACCGUUUGAAUUGAAAACUAUUGCAUGUAACACGUUGCUCCAGGCCUUCACGAAUUGACAAGCUGUCUGUGUUGGUCAACACUCCCUCUCAUCAGAAAUGAAUCAGGGAAUCAGAGUCGGUCUUCUGUUUGGCUGCUUGACAAACUAAAUUUGGAACAUAUUUACAAGAACUCAUUGCAUGUGGAAAUAAGUUCCCUUGCAGCAAGUUGUAUAAUUUUUACUCUUUUUCCACACCUAGCUCCCACUGCUGAUUUUUAAACCCGCAUUAAUUGAUUUUCUGGCCACCUGGGGGCAACUGCAACAAGCUGUAAACAAGAGGUUGACACAUUAACACCUCAUAAAGGUGAUAUAUAGCAAGUGGUUUCCUGUUUACACAUCCAGCAGACUUGUUUCAGCCUUACCAUCCAUUUGAAGACUUUGUUUACUUUUGUUUUUGUCUGCUACAACUCCUGGAGGAAAAUCUGUCUCCUAAGCUGUUAGAAACCUUCUCAGUCUAGUGUUUGGUGCUGGACAGGUAGUGCACAGUGAAUCUGAGCUUUUGUGCUGAAAACAUACAGCAUGCUGUGUCUGGGAAUUAUACUGAUGAGUGAAAGUACACCAACGACAGAAAGUUGUGGAAAUAAGUUUUCAAGAGUAGAAAUCUUCCAUUACCACUAAAGGUUUUCAGAAAAAAGACAAGACUAGACUUGGCUUUCUAGGAAGUACUCAAAACUUCAUGAAACAGGUUUUUUGGACACCUUUUUUUUGCUUUUCAGAUUCUUGCCAAACAAACAAACCAAAAAAAAACUUUGUCUUUUUUUUGUUAUUGACAGCCAAAAUGAAUUUGCCAAGGCCCACUUAGCACCUGCUGUUUUGACUGACUGCAAACUAUGAAACACUGUCACAUCAGAGCUGGAUUGUAAGGCACCAAACCCUGGGCCCAAGAUGAGCCUUAAGCUCUCAGUAUUCAAAUCCAAGUUGAGUCUGUGUCGCCACAGAAGAAUCCUGGCUGAGUCCAAGUCAAGUUAGAGUUGGGUCCUCAUUAUUUCAGCAGUCAUAUUGAGAAGAAAAGCAACUGUUUGACUCUCAACUAGUCACUGCACAAACCUUGACUAACAGUAUGGGACCUUUUGGAAAUGAAGACAUUUUAUUUCAUCAACAUUUGACUCUGACAGAUCCUGUCAGUGUGUUUGGAGAUUUCAUUGAUCAAAAAGUUGCAGCGCUGUGUUUCCUCAGUUAAUUUGCAUCUCACCUCUCUAAAUGUUGGAGGUGAGAUUCUGAUCACUCAAAAAAGUACCUGCAGCUUACCCUCUUUUAUAGUUGUUGUGAAUUUUUCAGUUUGUGUCAAUUUUGGCGCCUCCUGCCUACAAAGCGAUACCGCUCGUUGCUUGUUCUGUACAUGUUAGAGCGGUGGGUUGAAAACAAAAAGCCUCACCGUGUUGUCUUCCAACAGUUAAGUGUCUUACUUACUGUGAGUAAUUGCUUUUAAAAAAAGAUUUUUAAAAAAGGCUGUUUCUUCAGCCUGCUGUCAAUCAUCCAGUCUGACACCAGCCUCCUCACAGCAGUUUCAGGCAUUAUAAUGAAAACAGAAAAAAAUAUCAGCCUUUUUGCUGAUGAACUUGUUUGCUUUUAAAGGUCACAAAAUGGCAUCAGAGUCAGUUUCAGUCUGUUUCUCAACCAGGUACAAACUCCUUAUAGUGCCUUUAAUCAAAACUUUAACUAAACGAGCAUUUUGGACCUGACUAACGGUAAUAUUAUCAACAAUCUAAGCAAACUAACUGGAUCUCAGUUUACUUACUUUUCUCGCUGUACUUUGGAUGAAUGUCUGUACUGUAAAAUCGAAUGUCUAACUGUAAAAUCAAUAAUCAGGAGGACACCAUCUUUUUCUUGAAACGGAAUACAUUAUUAGGGUCAAAUUGUUAAACUGGAGUCUUCAACCAAACAAUAAGCUGUAACUUGCAAUGCAGUGUUUUCACCAAACUAAGACAUGAAGAAAAUGCUAUAAAGCUCCUGUAAGGACACACACACACACACACACACACACACACAUAUAUAUAUAUAUAUAUAUAUAUAUAUAUAUAUGUGUGUGUGUGUAUGUAUAUAUACACAUAUAUGUAUACACAUAAACAUAUAUACACAUAUACAUAUACACAUACAUAUAUAUACACACAUAUAUACAUACAUACAUACAUAUACAUACAUAUAUAUGUAUGUAUAUGUAUGUAUGUAUAUAUGUGUGUAUAUAUGUAUGUGUAUAUGUAUAUGUAUACAUACAUAUACAUAUAUAUGUAUGUAUAUGUAUACAUACAUAUACAUAUAUAUAUGUAUGUAUGUAUAUAUAUGUGUAUAUAUACAUACAUAUACAUACACACACACACACACAUAUAUGAACACACACAUAUAUGAACUAUAUAUAUAUAUAUAUAUGUAUAAAUGUAUAUAUAUAUAUAUAUAUAUUCAACAAUCAAGAUCUUCAGCAUCAGGACUGACUGUUUUUUAUUGUGAUUUUUGAUGCCUAAAGUUGGUGUAAGGGGGCAGGUGUCAGCUGAGCAGCAAAACAAACAGCCCUGUUUUUACUGUUUCCGCUAUUUUUACAGUUCCUUCAUUACUUAUUCAUAUUAAAUGAUACAUUUGAUUUAUAAAAGUCAGCAGAUGAGAUUUCUUAUCAGAGGACCCUUCUUAAGCACAUAAAGCACUGGACUAGCAAAGACUGUUUUGUCCAAAGUUGACACAAACUGAAAGUUCCUCACAGGGGCUUUAAAGUACUGCUGAGUUGUGUGCUCGUUAUUGGGGGUUAACAAACGUUAAAGAUGACACUGAAUCUCUCAGUUUAUCGUGUUGUCAUAGAGACAAUUUGUCUCAAUACAUACAGUAUAGUUUUUAUCUGUUCUCCAUUAGAUUUUUUUGAUCUGGAACUUUCAUUUCGAAGUAUGUUGCUUUUCUUCAGGGCAAGUAAAAUGUUUUCUCAACUGAUUUUUACACCUUCAUCUGGGCGCAGUGUAACAGUCGAACAAGUUUGAUCCUGAGCUGACCUGUAGAAAAGGGUACGAUCCCUUUCAGCAAGACUCACGCCUCACUCAGGUCAUCUCAAAAACACACAGAUCGCAGACAGAUUCAAUUCCCAGCUGAUAGACUCAGAAGGUGUGCAGAAGAAUAGAUUGAGACAAAAGUAAGGGAGAGAGAGAAAGAGAGAGAGAGAGAGAAACAAGCGAUAGAAGGUAGAAAGAAAGGUGGUAGAGAGAGUGAAACAGGUAAAAGGCAUUCACUCUCAAGCCCCAUUCAAACAUUCAUCUGGCUUCUCUCUCCGACUGCAUUCAUGCUGCACAGCCAAUUCCAGGGCGAUAAGCCAGCUGUGUGCUGCUCAAGGUAAGGGAGUGAAUAGAGCAGUACAAUCUCUGGCUGAUGCUGAGGAGGGACGGAGCCUACACGCUGACCUUCCUUAUGCCAGCUUUACUUCAGUGGAGGAGGAGGGUUUCAUAAAGGGAUUAUUCUGCUCAGCCACCUUUGACCUGUCUGGCUGCCUUCCAUAACUGCUCAAGCUGCCUGUCCAUCACUCAAAGAGAAGCAGAGAGCAGGAGGGAGAUAAGAGAGGAGAUGGUUUCAACCUGUGGGAAGGGAUUAAAACCGCUGUUGCUUCACUGUGAAAAGAUGGCAUGAAAUACAGGCGGAAAAACCAACAACUGAGUUUUCAGCCUGACUCAGCAGGUCAGUGUAAUGUGAAGAAACCAGAAUGACCUUUUUCAUCAGCCGUGAGACAAGGGUGCUCAACAUUUUCCCUCUGCUGACAAUUAUGAUCUGUCCAAGGGGGAGAUGACGCCCUGAGGAAAAAAUCAUCGGCUGCUGAAUGCCAAACAUCCUGUGUUUCCACCCACAAAUGAUUACAUUUUCCAGAUCGGAAAAGGACUUCUUAAUGUCUAUAGUGAGAGGUCCUGAGGAUGAGUCAGCCAUACUUGAGAGCAGAAUUAUAGAGCACACGUGUUGGAGUGACUCACCCAAUCGAGGAAACAAUGGCUGCAAUGUUAUCCUGAGUUCCCAAUAUAGCCCUGAGAGUUUGAAAUAUAUUUUGCAUGCCUGUCAUCAUAUUAUCCUCAGUGUGCUGAGACACAUUAUUGUGCGAUGUAUCAAAGUGUGUGUUUUGAGGGUUGUGAGUAAGGUGCGUUUGUUGUCCUGAAUGCUUUGAGCUCUUAGGGACCAUAGCUGACCAUGACAGACAGUUGAUGUUUUGGACAACGAUAAGCCAGUGAGCUGUAACAUCUCACUCCAGCAAAAAACAAAAUCUCCCCCAAGUCUCAAAGGAAAGCGCGGAAAAGGAGGCAUCCAAUUCCACCUUCUCUUCAGCAACCGUCCGCCAGGCGGGAAUGAAAGAAGGAUGAGAGGGCGAGGAAGCAAAGGAGAUUGAGAAACACAGAGAAGAGGGUAAAGAGGGAGGCUGAGAAAAAAGGGCAGAAAGUGAAAAACAAAUGCAUGAAACAAGCAGGAAGCAGAAAGAGAAAGGUGGCGAGAGCAGUGAGGACUUUCCCCUCUCUUCUCAGUGCUCCUCCUUCCCCCCUCUGGCAGUGUGCUGGUUAUUUACUGCAGCCUCUUCCUCUCCCGGUGGAACGAGAGGGAAAUGGGCUCUUAACCGGGUUUCCAUACAUCACCCCCUGACACUGAUGCCUGUAGUUGUGGGAUGCAAACAUCUGAUGAUUCUUUUUAAAAUCAAUUAUUCAGAGAGUAUCUAAAGUGGCUACGCAAUUCAUCACAGCUAAUUGCAGUGCAUCACCCCUGUCAUUUAUCAUGUCAGACAGAGCUUGUUCUGUUUCAAGUUUUGUUUUAAGUGGUGGAGGAAAGGUAGAAAAUGUUCCUGACAGUGGCAGCUGUGAAAUGGUUGAAAUUCUGUUGAGCCGCUUACCUGCCAUCAGUAUCAGCUCGAUAAACCAGAAAAACCCAUACCUGACAUUUAUAGGUAAUUUAAUGACAACCACAGUCAUUGGUUUUAUGUUGUUUUUAGCGCACUAGCAGUACAACUAAAAUAAAUCAAACCUUAAGAAACCAAAUGAAAAUCAACUAAACUGGAAGUAGCUGGUAUGACUUGGCAUGUUCAGUGUGGCUGUCAUGAUAAGUUGAAACCUGGAGGAAAAAACAAGAAAUCGAGAAACUUUUCCUCUUGAUUUUAGUCUACUAAACCAUAAGAAAAUCAAAUUAUACCUAAUCUUUCAAGUUUUGAAGGACUUCGUCACAGAGUUAGCCACAGGUAAAGUUAGGUUGUCAUCCAGUACCCAAUAUAAAAAUGGUUCUAUGUAUGGCACUGAACCAUUUUCUUUCCCAUUAUCUCUGUUGAGUCUAUUUAUCCUGGUACUAACAGGUGAGCUGGAACUUACAAAUAAAUCAAGACAGAUUUGUGAAAACCCAAAGUAGAGCAAAAAUCUGAAACACUCUUCCACAAAGAACAACAAAACCUUUAUUAAACUUGACAUCAGAAGAGCUAACGUGGAUGUCUAAAGCCUUAUCCAAACAAGUGCACUUAGCAGCAAUCCAGAUAGUUUAAUGGUCAAAGACACUGUUGAAAAAAACAUUGGAAGUGGUCUCCAACUAAAGUAGCUAUUGCAGGGAGGAACCUACACAGUAUCCAAGUGUAGAAGAAGAAUUAGACCAUGGUUCUUUCCUGUGGUGAGGUUUGGAGCUAAAAGCAUUUGGUUCUUUUUUUGUCCUUUGCUUUGAGUACUGUUGUUUCUUUUUUCAUUCUAUGUUGCUGUUGACUGUGUAUUCCUUUAUAUGUACAGAUUUUCUAAAAUGUGGCUUUCUCACUUUGGCUUCUUGAAUUUGAGAGUUACUUGGAAUCCAUGCACUGCUCUCACAGGUGUGGAUACCUAAUACUAAAAACUUUCAAGCCAGUCGAUCCUGUAUGUUAGAUCAGUGGCUUUUGUUCUGUAUAUAUGGAUUCUGUGUAUUUAGAAUAUGCAGAAUUUAGAUGUUGCACUUUAACCCAUUAUUCGAUAACCUUUUAUUUCAAAAAGCAACUGUGAGUUGCAUAACUGAUCUCCAAGUACUUAACCAAAAUAAUUAUGAUAGCCAUUGAGCAAUAUUGUGUAGUAUAGAUAUAUCCCAGAUUUAGACUUGGUCUUAACUUGGUUCUAAAUUUAGACAUCUAAAACAAACGUUAAUUUUUAGACCUGUGGUAGCCUGAUUUUAGACCAGUCGUCUAGGCUACAUUUAGACGUCUAUUAGACCUCUUUUAGACCAAAAAAUGCUCAGUGGGAGGAUGGCUGAACCUGUGAAGAGUCAAAAGUUUGGCUGAAUUCAACUAAAGCAAAAGAGGAAGAUGGCAAUUUAUGUUACAAAGGAAUUUCUUGCAAGUGAACAAGCGUGACUGUCACAACCAAGCGCAUCAUCAUGUGGCAUCAAAUCAAACUAAAAUGCAGAACUUUUAGUUGCUUUGAGUUUCAGAAACUCGAACACAAUGAUGUGUUCAAGGUCGGCCAGUAAAAUGACCAUUUAGCAAAUGUAAAUAAUAAAUGAUCAAUAACCAGUCUCUUUAAAAGUGCAGUCUUUGUAUUUUUGUCCAGUCUCUGUAACUGAUAAUCGCUGUGAUAAUUAAGGAGGCCUGAUAACGGUAUCAGUAUUAAAAAAAUUAACAAUCCCUUUUGCGUAGAUAGGAGAUGGAAGAAAGGAAAAUCUACAGAAAGCUAUCCCUCCAAGUCCUGCCUUCCUUUGUCUUGAAAUUACACCAUCAGUAUCUCCCAGCUUUGUCCUUAUGUCUUGUAUUUCAGGUAUUACACAGCGCAAAUUGUUGAGACACAUGAUGAAGUUCCUCCCUAUCUGAAGAAAAGCACCUGCUGCCCACAGGGUGGAUUAAGUUGUCUUCCUUUGCAGAAAAAAUAUUUAAAUAUCCUUUCACUGUCUGCCCCCCAGCAAGAGCUUUCACAGUCUGAUUGCUUUUAUAUGAGGCUAAUGAAAUAUGAUUGCAUUAUGAGGCGAUUCAAUAAAUGCAUUAACCUUUACAAAUCAAAACAUGCCAUCUCCUCCUAGCUGUUGUUGUUUGCUUAAAAAGGUUGGACAAAACAAAAGCAUAAUUAUCCUCACACAUUUCCACUACUCAGUCUAUUGUUUGUAAAUACCUGUUGACCUGUUGCUCCUCUCUUUAAUGGAAAUAAUAGAAUUUUAUGUGAAAUUUUCUAUUUAUUUCCCCAGCAUUUGAAGGAAAACAGACGUGUUAUCAAUUUGAAAUGCCAUGACUCUCAAAUGCUCUACAAAAGCUUCCUAGAAAAGCACUUUUCUACUCAGAUUUUUAUGUACAUGACCUUUACUGCAUUCAUUAUUUCAUUCUUGUAUGAUAUUCAUGUCAAUUUUUCAGGGCAGAUUGAGAUAGACCUUGCGGAAAAGCAGCACACAGGCCCAAAUAUGUAAAAGGCCAUAAGGGGAGGAAACCUCGAGUAAGUGCGAGGUGAAUGAUGGCAGGAUGAUCGGGGGGAACGAGAUGAAGACAGCAGCAAAAAAACAGGGCAGCACGAGCGGAGGGAGGGAGAGGUCUGAUUGACAAUUUGCAUCCUCUUCAGAGGGUAUCAGGGGACAUGAUUGAAUCCAGUCAGGCUGAACCCAUUAGGGGAGCAAUGCUGUCAGAGGCCGAGCAGAAAGCCAUCCACCAGCACCCGGUCCCUGCUCUUCUCUGGUCUCCAUUUAUAUUCAUGCCGGGGUUGAGUUAUUGGGGAAGUAGAGUGAGGGAGAAAGUAAAAAAAGGGAACUCAAGCCGGCCUCGUCAAGCCAUCCAUUUGCUACUUUGCGAGCUGUAAAGUUCUUACUUGCUGCUGAUGAUUGCUCACUUAACCUGGGCAAGAGUGAUCCCAUUUGCAUGUGAUUUUUCAUGAGUCAAUAUGUCCAUAAAUUAGUUUCAGAUUGUAGACAUGUAAUGUAUCAAACCACUUAAAAGCACAGGGAAAAACCAUUUCAAAAGCCCUGGAGUGGAUGCACGUGAUAUUUGCAUUUUAAGCAGUUUAACAUGUCUCCUCUCAUUAGUCCACCUUGACAAUGUUUCCAUAACUGAAACCUAUCUGGUGCAUUUUCUUGGGAGAUAGCCGCUUGGCAUCCCUUGGCAGAGCAGAGGCAAUCAUUUUCCUGAAGGUUUCUCUUUGUAUUCCUCAGUAGAUCCCUGGGCGUGAUGAGAAAAGCGGAGAUAUAACACACUUGAGGGCGUGAUAAGCCGCAGCGGCCGAGGGCUUCUGGGAACACUUCCUGACAGCCAUCCCAGCCCUCGUGUCUCCAUUCACCUCAGCAAGACGCCUGAUCCAGAGCUGCCUGAGAGACUGACUAGGUGACAAAAGAGGUGGAGUUCUGUGGAGAGUAUUCCACAUGUCGCAAUUUAUCUCACAAACACAGCACAUACGCCCAAAGCUACGGUAUUGCAGCAGCUUUGGUUUAUUCCGUACCAGCCAGCUGUCAAAGCAGGGAGGGUGGAACCACGCCGACAAAAUUCUCUUUCUUCUCUAGAGUGAAAAUCGAGAGUAAGAAGGAAAGAUUUUCAUCCUUUGUAUGUGAAAAGCUCAGAUUGGACCUUUUGUCUGAUUCACCAGCUGUGUGUAACUCAGCAGUGAGUCUCAGAAAAAGGCACACUGGCAUUUGGAAGCAGUUUUAGUCUUAUUUUAGUUUGUAUUAUUGAAGUACACUCCAUAGGACGCCAAAUCGCCUAUUAGGCUGUUUUCAUAGAGGCCGUCAUGGCGCCACUAAUCCAGUUUCUGAAUUUCUUCUCCCUUCUUUGAUGUAAUUACAAAAACACAAAUUUAAUAAGACUGUUUGGAGCAUUUUGAAAAUGAAGCUUAGGCUGAAAUCAUAUUCAAAGUCAUAGCCAUAGAGGUCAUUUUAAGGAAGGGUAAUUAGAUGGGAGCUUCUGCUCUUGGGACUUGUGCGGCGUAUAGGCAGAGUCAUUUUUGUAGACACAGGUAGAAAUACAUCUGUUCCUAAUGCGACUGACUGUUUUUACCUCCCUCCCUCUCUCUCUCUCUCUCUCUGCAUCUGUCUCUUAUUCUCUCUCUCUUCCCUCCUCUCCUGCGUCUCUGAGGUUUAAAAUAGUCACGGAGGGAUCAUGUUCAAGUUAUGAAUGUCCCAAUUAGCCGGCAAUGGAGAGAGAGGGUCUCGAAAGUGGUACUCAAGUGACUGGUGCAAAAACAUUGCUGGGCUAUAGUUUUUAUUUAGGCAGGCUUAAUGCAGGCUAUUGACUUCUCAAUGAGGACCAGGAUUAGGUCAAAUAUACUUCACUCACUAAUGCAUGCCUAAUGGUUCUGCUAUAGAUUAGCCAUAAAAGUGGAUGAUCAUAAAUAUUGCUGGAUUGUAAAACAUUUAUGAGUGAAAUCCAAUGCCCGGCUUCCAAAAUUGUGAGUCUUUAAGUGGUGACUCUGAGAGCAGCGAUAUGCUGCUGCAUGUUUAAAGGUAGUGGAAAAUAUUUGGACUCAGCAGAGCAACUUCGAUUCAAGCAUCAUUCAAUAUCACUCAACAAGAUGUGUUUUUGUUUUGUCUGCUCUAUUCUGUCGCAUUUUCACCAGCUGGCGCAGCCAAAGCAGAAUCAUGAUAAAUGAGGAACGGGUCAUGUUCAGGUUUCCAGAGCUGACAUGUUCCUGCUUUAUUGCCAUGGCUACUUCUGUCUCUGUGACACAUCUGCUGACAAGCGCCUGCUUCACCUGUCACAAGCUCAUCUGUCACCUUUGACCCCUGGCAGAGAUUCAAGCAAGGGGAUGCUGAGCUCAAUCUCCCAGACAGUCACAGCCGCACAACACUGUCAGAGCUGUGUGAUACACUUUCAGAUUGAAAGGAGGAGUGAAAAUUACAGCACGUGGAGAAGUAGCAGUCAGCAAGAAGUCCCUUCCCCUCGUGGUUUAACAGAAGUUGCUGCUGUUGGGACUGAAGGAAAAGAAUCUGUAACCACUCUCAAGCUUCAGUUGCUUUUACACCUAACCUGUCAACCCUGAGGAAAAACUAGCUCUGAUGUGUGCAGAAAAAGUGCAAUUCAGUACAUAUCUACAAAUCUUCAAAGUCUAUUGAAAACCAAAACAUUGUUGUAAAGGCCCAGAUCAGGAGCAGUAUAUGCAACAGUUCAGUUGCCAUUAAACUAACUCUCAAAUCAUUUGUUAAAGCGUUGUUGGGCAGGUCAAUGAAGACAAGUGCAUGGUUACUAUAGUUAAUACUAUCAAAAGUAACUAAAUACCUGAUUGAGUUACUGCAUUAUAAAAGCAGUUACUUGGGAAAGUAGCUUUUAGCUUCAAUAACCCUAGUAAGUACCCUACCGCUCAUCUUAUUUUGCUGGUUUGUUCUCUGACUUCUUUAAAGCCAAGCAUGUCUAAAACAAAAACCUUGCAACUGGUAUGUUUAGUCCUAUCUACCUUACUGAUUAUGAGGUUGGCUGUGAUUUAAAAUUAAGCCUCUGCUGAGCUAACUUCAGCUGCACCAAGGUCACUAAUAUCUGAUCGUAGCGACAAGAACUCUCAAAUUUGUGUAACUUGCCAACUUUUUUCAAACAUAUCUACAUUUAACAUUU
rnacentral:lncRNA from 1 species